UACGAAGGGGGCUAGCGUUGCUCGGAAUUACUGGGCGUAAAGGGCGCGCAGGCGGCUCGCCAAGUCAGAUGUGAAAGCCCCGGGCUCAACCUGGGAACUGCAUUUGUGACUGCAUGGCUAGAGUACGGUAGAGGGGGAUGGAAUUCCGCGUGUAGCAGUGAAAUGCGUAGAUAUGCGGAGGAACACCGAUGGCGAAGGCAAUCCCCUGGACCUGUACUGACGCUCAUGCACGAAAGCGUGGGGAGCAAACAGG
rnacentral:rRNA from 1 species